GACUACUGGGGUAUCUAAGCCUGUUUGCUCCCCACGCUUUCGCUUCUCAGCGUCAGGAAAGGUCCAGAGAACCGCCUUCGCCACUGGUGUUCCUCCUGAUAUCUACGCAUUCCACCGCUUCACCAGGAAUUCCAUUCUCCCCUACCUUCCUCAAGUCUGCCCGUAUCGAAAGCAGGCUCAGGGUUAAGCCCUGAGUUUUCACUCCCGACGCAACAAACCGCCUACAAGCUCUUUACGCCCAAUAAAUCCGGACAACGCUCGCACCCUACGUAUCACCGCGGCUGCUGGCACGUAGUUAGCCGGUGCUUCUUCUCCCACUACCGUCACUCUCGCUUCGUCAUGGAUGAAAGCGGUUUACAACCCGAAGGCCGUCAUCCCGCACGCGGCGUUGCUGCAUCAGACUUCCGUCCAUUGUGCAAUAUUCCCCACUGCAGCCACCCGUAGG
rnacentral:rRNA from 1 species